AUACGUAGGUGGCAAGCGUUGUCCGGAUUUACUGGGCGUAAAGGGCGUGUAGGCGGAGAUGCAAGUCAGGAGUGAAAUCUAUGGGCUUAACUCAUAAACUGCAUUUGAAACUGUAUCUCUUGAGUGCUGGAGAGGUAGACGGAAUUCCUUGUGUAGCGGUGAAAUGCGUAGAUAUAAGGAAGAACACCAGUGGCGAAGGCGGUCUACUGGACAGUAACUGACGCUGAGGCGCGAAAGCGUGGGGAGCAAACAGGAUUAGAUACCCUGGUAGUCCACGCUGUAAACGAUGAAUACUAGGUGUGGGGGGACUGACCCCCUCCGUGCCGCAGUUAACACAAUAAGUAUUCCACCUGGGGAGUACGGCCGCAAGGUUGAAACUCAAAUGAAUUGACGGGG
rnacentral:rRNA from 1 species